AGAGUUUGAUCCUGGCUCACCGCGAACGCUGGCGGCAUGCCUAACACAUGCAAGUCGUACGGAGAGUGGGGCAACUCACUCUCAGUGGCAAACGGGUGAGUAACGCGUGAAUAACCUACCUUUGAGAAGGGGAUAACUGUCCGAAAGGAUAGCUAAUACCCUAUAUUGCCUUUUGUCUCUAACGCAAAAAGUGAAAGCGAGGCUGUCAAAGGCUUCGGCUCAAAGAGGGGUUCGCGUCCUAUCAGGUAGUUGGUGGGGUAAUGGCCUACCAAGCCAAUGACGGGUACCUGGUCUUAAAGGAUGAUCAUCCACAGUGGGACUGAGACACGGCCCCCCCCCCUACGGGGGGCAGCAGUGGGGAAUCGGGGGCAAUGGGCGCAAGCCUGACCCCCCAAUGCCGCGUGAGGGAAAAACCCCUUCGGGGUGUAAACCUCUGUCAGAUGGGAAGAUGGGGCUAGGGGUUAAUACCUCCUGGUCUUGACGGUACCAUCAAAGGAAGGGACGGCUAACUACGUGCCACCAGCCGCGGUAAUACGUAGGUCCCGAGCGUUGCGCGAUGUUACUGGGCGUAAAGCGUCCGUAUCUGGUUUCGUAAGCGGAUUGUCAAAACCCGAAGCUCAACUUCGGCAAGGUUUCCGAACUGCUUUACUUGAGUCCUGUUCAGGUAGGCGGAAUUCCCGGUGUAACGGUGAAAUGCAUAGAUAUCGGGAGGAACACCAGUGGCGAAAGCGGACUACUGGGACGGUACUGACGGUCAUGGACGACUGCUGGGGGAGCAAACAGUAUUAGAUACCCUGUUACUC
rnacentral:rRNA from 1 species